GACGAACGCUGGCGGCGUGCUUAACACAUGCAAGUCGAACGGAAAGGCCCUGCUUGCAGGGUACUCGAGUGGCGAACGGGUGAGUAACACGUGGGUGAUCUGCCCUGCACUUCGGGAUAAGCCUGGGAAACUGGGUCUAAUACCGGAGAGGAGCCAUUUUUAGUGUGAUGGUUGGAAAGUUUUUUCGGUGUAGGAUGAGCUCGCGGCCUAUCAGCUUGUUGGUGGGGUAAUGGCCUACCAAGGCGGCGACGGGUAGCCGGCCUGAGAGGGUGGACGGCCAAAUUGGGACUGAGAUACGGCCCAGACUCCUACGGGGGGCAGCAGUGGGGAAUAUUGCACAAUUGGCGCAAGCCUGAUGCAGCGACGCCGCGUGGGGGAUGACGGCCUUCGGGUUGUAAACUCCUUUCGCUAGGGACGAAGCUUUUUGUGACGGUACCUAGAUAAGAAGCACCGGCUAACUACGUG
rnacentral:rRNA from 1 species